UGCCAGACUCCUACGGGAGGCAGCAGUGGGGAAUAUUGGGCAAUGGACGCAAGUCUGACCCAGCAACGCCGCGUGAAGGAAGAAGGCUUUCGGGUUGUAAACUUCUUUUAAGAGGGAAGAGCAGAAGACGGUACCUCUUGAAUAAGCCACGGCUAACUACGUGCCAGCAGCCGCGGUAAUACGUAGGGGGCAAGCGUUAUCCGGAUUUACUGGGUGUAAAGGGAGCGUAGACGGCAAGGCAAGUCUGGAGUGAAAGCCCGUGGCCCAACCACGGGACUGCUUUGGAAACUGUGUUGCUGGAGUGCAGGAGGGGUAAGCGGAAUUCCUAGUGUAGCGGUGAAAUGCGUAGAUAUUAGGAGGAACACCAGUGGCGAAGGCGGUCUGCUGGACAGCAACUGACGCUGAGGCGCGAAAGCGUGGGGAGCAAACAGGAUUAGAUACCCUGGUA
rnacentral:rRNA from 1 species